GCUGAGGAGGAGCUUGCUUCUCUGGAUGAGUUGCGAACGGGUGAGUAACGCGUAGGUAACCUGCCUGGUAGCGGGGGAUAACUAUUGGAAACGAUAGCUAAUACCGCAUAAGAGUAGAUGUCGCAUGACAUUUGCUUAAAAGAUGCAAUUGCAUCACUACCAGAUGGACCUGCGUUGUAUUAGCUAGUUGGUGGGGUAACGGCUCACCAAGGCAACGAUACAUAGCCGACCUGAGAGGGUGAUCGGCCACACUGGGACUGAGACACGGCCCAGACUCCUACGGGAGGCAGCAGUAGGGAAUCUUCGGCAAUGGACGGAAGUCUGACCGAGCAACGCCGCGUGAGUGAAGAAGGUUUUCGGAUCGUAAAGCUCUGUUGUAAGAGAAGAACGAGUGUGAGAGUGGAAGGUUCACACUGUGACGGUAUCUUACCAGAAAGGGACGGCUAACUACGUGCCAGCAGCCGCGGUAAUACGUAGGUCCCGAGCGUUGUCCGGAUUUAUUGGGCGUAAAGCGAGCGCAGGCGGUUAGAUAAGUCUGAAGUUAAAGGCUGUGGCUUAACCAUAGUACGCUUUGGAAACUGUUUAACUUGAGUGCAAGAGGGGAGAGUGGAAUUCCAUGUGUAGCGGUGAAAUGCGUAGAUAUAUGGAGGAACACCGGUGGCGAAAGCGGCUCUCUGGCUUGUAACUGACGCUGAGGCUCGAAAGCGUGGGGAGCAAACAGGAUCAGAUACCCUGGUAGUCCACGCCGUAAACGAUGAGUGCUAGGUGUUAGACCCUUUCCGGGGUUUAGUGCCGCAGCUAACGCAUUAAGCACUCCGCCUGGGGAGUACGACCGCAAGGUUGAAACUCAAAGGAAUUGACGGGGGCCCGCACAAGCGGUGGAGCAUGUGGUUUAAUUCGAA
rnacentral:rRNA from 1 species